GAACCACUUCCACCGAACCAGUAGCAAGGCAGUCCAAUCUAGUAGAUGAGGCGCAUGCAAGAUGUGGGACCCACCAGCCCAAAGCAAGCAGCCAACCUCUCUCUCACGUUGGAUAUGGCUGGAUUAAAAAGAAAAAAAAUCCCCUCCUCUCUCUCAUGGAACGAGAUCGUCUGCAGUUGGCCAAAACAACUUGUCUCUGCAG
rnacentral:lncRNA from 1 species